UGUCGCAGUGCUGUGGGUCGUGGCUAUCGCAAUUACAACACUGGUGUGAUUGUUUCCCUACGCGUGGAAUUCGGCUGCGAUUCCUUACGACCCUGCGCUAGCAGCCGUGUACGCCUCUCUCUAUCCCCUGCUGUGGAGCGUCUCGGUCGCCUGGAUGCUACACUCUUGCAUCACGGGGACGGCAGAUCUCGUGAAUCGGUUCCUGAGCAUGGGGGUCUUCAUGCCAUUGGGCAAGCUGAGCCUCUCCCUGUACCUCGUCCACCCGUAUGUGUUGUACACCAAGUUGAUCACCACGAGGCAAUUCAGAGCCCUGGACCAGUGGACAAUGUUCACGGAUGCCAUUGGACUACUGUUCUUCAGCUUGUUCUUCGCCUUCGUCUUCUAUAUCACGUGCGAAUGUCCCAUAACCAAUAUAGACAAGAUCGCUGUGGACGCCAUCUUGAAAGGAAGGAGGCGGGACGUAAAGAACGAGGUUCCUACGUCGAAUGUCCACUCGAACAACAUCGAGUUAUCUGGCUGCACAAGCACAA